GAUGAACGCUAGCGGCAGGCUUAAUACAUGCAAGUCGAGGGGCAGCGCAGUGUAGCAAUACAUAGGCGGCGACCGGCAAACGGGUGCGGAACACGUACAGAACCUUCCUUCGAGCGGGGAAUAGCCCAGAGAAAUUUGGAUUAAUACCCCAUAGUAUAGUGGAGAGGCAUCUCUUUACUAUUAAAGAUUUAUCACUUGAAGAUGGCUGUGCGGCGAUUAGGUAGUUGGCGGGUAACGGCCCACAAGCCUGCGAUCAGUAACUGGUGUGAGAGCACGACCAGUCACACGGGCACU
rnacentral:rRNA from 1 species